rnacentral:tmRNA from 1 species
UUGAUUGAAUUUAUGAAUAUAAAGAUAUAGAAUUAAAAAGUUACAGCUAGUCUGUAAAUAUAGUAAUAAACAUUAAAUUUAAUAGGUUUAGCGGACUCGGGGGCAGAACCCGACAUCUCCACCAUAUGGGGAUGAAUUAGGAUCGACGUGAAUUGAAAGAUUUGAUUUUUACUCGGUGUUGUGACCGGAAUAAACUAAAUAAUAAAUGCAAAUAAUGUAUUUAACCCGCAAUCUGCAGCAAACAGUAAUGUUAGUUCAGAGCUUGCGUUCGCUUAAUUGAUUUUAAAAUAUAAGCAAGUCAAAUAAGCAUGCGGCUUGUAGAGUGCCGAGCAACAGAAACUCUGCAAA